AUCGUUGUUGAUUAUUUACAAUUUUUUUCUUUUUUAAUUCUCCCUAGGUAAGACAUCUCAAGCCUUAUUUCAGCAAAACUUGCACAGUUGGACAAAUUCAAACCAGUGAUGAUUUUCGCCAUUUGGCACGAAAGCUCACAUUCUUUGUUAUGCUAAAAGAACUAAAGUACUGUAAUAACGUAAGCUUGCUGGAGGUAACAGAAUCAGUAAAAAAUAAGGCCCGUGAAUAUAUAAAAAAAUACAUGUCGAAAUUUGGAAAAACAUACCUUCGUGAUGAAAAUGAAAAAGACUACCAUUUUGAAGAUUUGUAAAUAAAGUGAAGGAACAACAACUCACAUUUUUUUGAAAGAAAUAAAUUAUUUUAUUCAUUAAAAUAAAGUUAAAUAACUUAUCUACUAAA